AGAACGAACGCUGGCGGCAUGCCUAACACAUGCAAGUCGAACGAGACCUUCGGGUCUAGUGGCGCACGGGUGCGUAACGCGUGGGAAUCUGCCCUUGGGUUCGGAAUAACAGCGAGAAAUUGCUGCUAAUACCGGAUGAUGACGUAAGUCCAAAGAUUUAUCGCCCAAGGAUGAGCCCGCGUAGGAUUAGCUUGUUGGUGAGGUAAGAGCUCACCAAGGCGACGAUCCUUAGCUGGUCUGAGAGGAUGAUCAGCCACACUGGGACUGAGACACGGCCCAGACUCCUACGGGAGGCAGCAGUGGGGAAUAUUGGACAAUGGGCGAAAGCCUGAUCCAGCAAUGCCGCGUGAGUGAUGAAGGCCUUA
rnacentral:rRNA from 1 species